rnacentral:rRNA from 1 species
GAUGAACGCUGGCGGCGUGCCUAAUACAUGCAAGUCGAGCGAACAGAUAAGGAGCUUGCUCCUUUGACGUUAGCGGCGGACGGGUGAGUAACACGUGGAUAACCUACCUAUAAGACUGGGAUAACUUCGGGAAACCGGAGCUAAUACCGGAUAACAUAUUGAACCGCAUGGUUCAAUAGUGAAAGGCGGCUUUGCUGUCACUUAUAGAUGGAUCCGCGCCGUAUUAGCUAGUUGGUAAGGUAACGGCUUACCAAGGCAACGAUACGUAGCCGACCUGAGAGGGUGAUCGGCCACACUGGAACUGAGACACGGUCCAGACUCCUACGGGAGGCAGCAGUAGGGAAUCUUCCGCAAUGGGCGAAAGCCUGACGGAGCAACGCCGCGUGAGUGAUGAAGGUCUUCGGAUCGUAAAACUCUGUUAUCAGGGAAGAACAAAUGUGUAAGUAACUGUGCACAUCUUGACGGUACCUGAUCAGAAAGCAACGGCUAACUACGUG